rnacentral:rRNA from 1 species
UGGGGAAUAUUGCACAAUGGGCGCAAGCCUGAUGCAGCCAUGCCGCGUGUAUGAAGAAGGCCUUCGGGUUGUAAAGUACUUUCAGCGGGGAGGAAGGGAGUAAAGUUAAUACCUUUGCUCAUUGACGUUACCCGCAGAAGAAGCACCGGCUAACUCCGUGCCAGCAGCCGCGGGAAUACGGAGGGUGCAAGCGUUACUCGGAAUUACUGGGCGUAAAGCGCACGCAGGCGGUUUGUUAAGUCAGAUGUGAAAUCCCCGGGCUCAACCUGGGAACUGCAUCUGAUACUGGCAAGCUUGAGUCUCGUAGAGGGGGGUAGAAUUCCAGGUGUAGCGGUGAAAUGCGUAGAGAUCUGGAGGAAUACCGGUGGCGAAGGCGGCCCCCUGGACGAAGACUGACGCUCAGGUGCGAAAGCGUGGGGAGCAAACA